CCUACGGGUGGCAGCAGUGAGGAAUAUUGGUCAAUGGACGCAAGUCUGAACCAGCCAUGCCGCGUGCAGGAAGACGGCCCUAUGAGUUGUAAACCGCUUUUGUACGAGGGCAAACGCAGAUACGUGUAUCUGUCUGAAAGUAUCGUACGAAUAAGCAUCGGCUAACUCCGUGCCAGCAGCCGCGGUAAUACGGAGGAUUCAAGCGUUAUCCGGAUUUAUUGGGUUUAAAGGGUGCGUAGGCGGUCAGAUAAGUUAGAGGUGAAAUCCCGAGGCUCAACUUCGGAAUUGCCUCUGAUACUGUUCGGCUAGAGAGUAGUUGAGGUAGGCGGAAUGUAUGGUGUAGCGGUGAAAUGCUUAGAGAUCAUACAGAACACCGAUUGCGAAGGCAGCUUACCAAGCUACUUCUGACGUUGAGGCACGAAAGCGUGGGGAGCGAACAGGAUUAGAUACCCCGGUAGUC
rnacentral:rRNA from 1 species